AGCGAACGCUGGCGGCAUGCCUAACACAUGCAAGUCGAACGAGACCUUCGGGUCUAGUGGCGCACGGGUGCGUAACGCGUGGGAACCUGCCCUUAGGUUCGGAAUAACUCCCCGAAAGGGGUGCUAAUACCGGAUAAUGUCUUCGGACCAAAGAUUUAUCGCCUUUGGAUGGGCCCGCGUUGGAUUAGCUAGUUGGUAGGGUAAAGGCCUACCAAGGCGACGAUCCAUAGCUGGUCUGAGAGGAUGAUCAGCCACACUGGGACUGAGACACGGCCCAGACUCCUACGGGAGGCAGCAGUGGGGAAUAUUGGACAAUGGGCGAAAGCCUGAUCCAGCAAUGCCGCGUGAGUGAUGAAGGCCUUAGGGUUGUAAAGCUCUUUUACCCGGGAUGAUAAUGACAGUACCGGGAGAAUAAGCUCCGGCUAACUCCGUG
rnacentral:rRNA from 1 species